rnacentral:rRNA from 1 species
CCUACGGGUGGCAGCAGUGGGGAAUAUUGCACAAUGGGGGCAACCCUGAUGCAGCGACGCCGCGUGAAGGAAGAAGUAUUUCGGUAUGUAAACUUCUAUCAGCAGGGAAGAAAAUGAUGGUACCUGACUAAGAAGCCGCGGCUAACUACUUGCCAGCAGCCGCGGUAAUACGGAGGAUGCGAGCGUUAUCCGGAUUUAUUGGGGUUAAGGGGUGCGUAGGCGGAUUUUUAAGUCAGCGGUAAAAGGUCCGGGCUCAACCCGGGCCGGCCGUUGAAACUGGGGAUCUUGAGUGGGCGAGAAGUAUGCGGAAUGCGUGGUGUAGCGGUGAAAUGCAUAGAUAUCACGCAGAACUCCGAUUGCGAAGGCAGCAUGCCGGCGCCCGACUGACGCUGAGGCACGAAAGCGUGGGGAUCGAACAGGAUUAGAUACCCGUGUAGUC